rnacentral:rRNA from 1 species
UAGUCGCCGCGGGAAUACGUAGGGUGCAAGCGUUAAUCGGAAUUACUGGGCGUAAAGCGUGCGCAGGCGGUUAUAUAAGACAGAUGUGAAAUCCCCGGGCUCAACCUGGGAACUGCAUUUGUGACUGUAUAGCUAGAGUACGGCAGAGGGGGAUGGAAUUCCGCGUGUAGCAGUGAAAUGCGUAGAUAUGCGGAGGAACACCGAUGGCGAAGGCAAUCCCCUGGGCCUGUACUGACGCUCAUGCACGAAAGCGUGGGGAGCAAACAGGAUUAGAUACCCCCGUAGUCCCUGUCUCUUAUAC